CCCUUAGAUGUCCUGGGCCGCACGCGCGCUACACUGAACGGAUCAGCGCGUUUUCCCUUCCCGAGAGGGACGGGUAACCUGCUGAACCCCGUUCGUGGUAGGGAUCGGGGCUUGCAAUUAUUCCCCGUGAACCAGGAAUGCCCAGUAAGUGCAAGUCAUAAGCUUGCGUUGAUUACGUCCCUGCCCUUUGUACACACCGCCCGUCGCUACUACCGAUUGAACGUUUUAGUGAGGUACUCGGACUGAGCCUCAGAAGAUUCACGUCUUUUGUGCUGCUCGGAAAGAUUCCCAAACUUGAGCGUUUAGAGGAAGUAAAAGUCGUAACA
rnacentral:rRNA from 1 species